UACAGAGGUCUCAAGCGUUGUUCGGAUUCAUUGGGCGUAAAGGGUGCGUAGGCGGUUUGUUGCGUCGGCUGUGAAAUCCCGAGGCUCAACCUCGGGUCUGCAGUCGAUACGAGCAAACUAGAGUGUUGCAGGGGAGACUGGAAUUCCUGGUGUAGCGGUGAAAUGCGCAGAUAUCAGGAGGAACACCGGUGGCGAAAGGCGGUUCUCUGGGCCUGUACUGACGUGAGGAAACGAAAGCGUGGGGGAGCGAACAGG
rnacentral:rRNA from 1 species